ACAGCAGUAGCCGCGGUAACACGGAGGGUGCAAGCGUUAAUCGGAAUUACUGGGCGUAAAGCGCACGCAGGCGGUUUGUUAAGUCAGAUGUGAAAUCCCCGAGCUUAACUUGGGAACUGCAUUUGAAACUGGCAAGCUAGAGUCUUGUAGAGGGGGGUAGAAUUCCAGGUGUAGCGGUGAAAUGCGUAGAGAUCUGGAGGAAUACCGGUGGCGAAGGCGGCCCCCUGGACAAAGACUGACGCUCAGGUGCGAAAGCGUGGGGAGCAAACAGGAUUAGAUACCCCUGUAGUCCCUGUCUCUUAUAC
rnacentral:rRNA from 1 species